UACAAUGUCUUUGUGCUUUACGCAAUGUUUUUUGUGAGUUUUUCCCGGUUUAAAAUGAGUUUUCGAUUAAUUUUAUCUAUGAAAUCAGUGUAUUAUUGCGUGCUUUUGUUAUGGGUUGGCUUCAAGAAAGCUCAAACGAGAAGUUUUUAAAGGCAAAGGCACAAAGCAUUUCAUUGACAUUAAGGGAUGUGUUACACAAGACAUAAUGUCACAGAACAGGCGUUACUCUUUGUUGCCGCAAAAAGAAAAUUCACGUAGAUGAAGCGACGGGAUUCAUAUUAUAUUUUAUCACUUCACAGCUGCGCACCUAUGAUCGAUCUUAUCCAAGAUGGCCGCCGGCGCACGCCUGAACAGGCAGGGAAAACAUGCGCUUGCACACCUCCUCCGCCAUAGUGGACCCGUCAAUCUCACGAUUUUGAAUUUAGAACACCAUUAGGUACAACCGUUUUUUAUAUGCACCAGUGUUCCAAUUUUGAAUUUUAUAAACGUGACAAGCGUGCGAACUCGCUGACGGUCUCUGCAGUACUAAAUUAACAAAAAACUCAGUAUGAAUGUAUUCAAAACUUGAAACCCAUAAAAUAUAUUCUCCCCCAUUAUUAGUUUAUGGCUUGCGACUGUUACUGGGCUAUUAUGCUGUUGUGUUUCUGUGUGUUAGUGUUUGUUUUCAUUGUGUGCGGUGACGGAGUAACCAAUUUGGGAUACCAUUACAAAAUGUCCCUAUUGAGUCAGUGAGUGCAUUCUUUUUAAAUAGCUUUAUUAUCUUCUUUUUAGUUCGUUGUUUAAAUUUUAAGUUUUUGUUAGUUCUAGUAAUUUCCCGUUGCGUAAUAAAUAAUUGAUAAUAAUACAGAAAUAUCAGCAAAAUGUUUGAGAUUAUUAUUCAAUCUUUAUUACAUGUGAGGCGCAAAGACACAAUUCGGUAGCAAAUUUUUUAAUUCGAUAUUUAAAUAAAAUAAAUAUUAUUCAACCAGAGUACGUACUUAAUAAUAUUAUUUAAAUAAAUGAAUGUAAACGUUCUUACAUAAAAUCGCAACUCCGAAUUAAUUUGCUUCAAUAUAAAUAUUUUGUCGGUCACAACAAAGUCCAUACACGAGAAUCGAACCAGUAAUAAUUAUUAUAUACGCCCGACUUACUCACACGUUAAAGAGAUUUUUACAAAAAUCACUUCUUAUUUAUUGAUUAAUUUAUUUUUAUUUAAUUAAGACGCAAAACAGAAUACAAUUAAGUAUGUUUACGAAUUAAAUAAAAUUACAAAUAAUGUUAGAUCAAAAAAAUUUACAAACAGCAGUUGACCGAUGUAGAGCCACUUUCGUAGCGAUGCAUCAGACGGUCACGGAUGCGCCCGCAUUCUGCCAACCCGUAGAUGCACCACAUAAAUAUAUCUAGCGGCACACACACAUACAAAGAAGCGUCAACGUUCAUUACGCGGAUCCUCUAUAUUUAAUGUAUUCGCUAUUAUGUAGCCAAAUUAUGUUGUUUAUAUUCAUGACUCUGUGUCAUGAUGUGGCAAAUUGUUUGAUAAUUAGUUUUUUUAGUAUUACCACAUUCUGUUUCUAAAUUCAAAUAUUUUUUGAAUUUAUUCCAAACCGCGAAGUUAUUUCAGUACAAAAGAUUUAACAAUUGUUCAGAAUUUAAUAUAAAAAACCUAUUUGGUUCAUUUUGAAAUGUGAAUGUUACUGUUUAAGACUAUUUGCCAUUACUAUAAAAAAAAUGUUGCUCCACAUAGCUACAUAAUUAUUACCAAUAAGGAAGCAAAAAGUAGAUUCAAUGCAUAUAUAGAUAUCCAAUGAUAUUGAUAGUUAUAUUUAAUUCUUUUCUACGGGAAAUUAUCAUUAAAUAAACCACAAAAAUAAUUUCCGAACAAUAAAAAGUUAAGAAACCGAAAAAGAAAUGAAUACGUGCACUUCUCCGGUAAUUUCAAUAUCACGUUUUACUUAAAGUAUGCAAGUGUUAUAAGCCCUGAAGGUUGGCAAUUUUCGGUACCUGUUUAGAAAUUAUAGGGUCAAGUCGGGGGAGGUUAGAUGGUUCGAAAAAUAAGCUCCAAUAAUAAGGUAUUGGAAUAAAAGAAGACAACAAGGAUUUGUGGUUCAGUACACAAAUAAUAAGGGUAAAUGUUUAAUGUUGGUUUUUAAAAUAGUUUUGUGAAAUAUCUGAAGCUAUAUUUAAAAUAUAAUAUAUUUAUUAAUUAAUAUAUGUGCAGGUAUUUUUAAUUUAAAAGAAACUUAUUUUUUUAUUUUUAGUUAACUUUAAUUUAAAAGAUACUUACUGAACUCUCUGAAUAACUUAGUGGAUAUUAUAAAAGACUUUGUCUCUAUACCGGUUUGUUAGUACAAACUUGAUAAUAAAGUUGCAUCGCUACUCUUAAAUAAAUAUUAGUUUUAUUAAAUCAAAUUGUUAUUAAUUACCAUCGGAAAAUAAAUUAUAUCUCAGGUAAUAUUUUAUCUCAAUAUGUAAAAACGAAUAUUUAAAUUUGUAUUAAUUUAUAAAUGUGACUUUGUAUUAAAUUGCCAUACCUUUUAUAGUGUUUACUUAUCAGUGAUCUAGUUACUUAGAUUAUAGUUUAAAUGAGUUUAUUACACGCAUUAAAAUUGGUAUUGAUUGAUUAAAUAAAAUUAUGUAAAUUUUACACAGGUGCAGUAGUCGAACCUAGAUAAUUUAGAUUUUAAUAUUGUAUUAAAUUUUCAGGUAAUAUGCAACAUUUUUAAGAUUGAAAAUUGGCUGUAUAAAAGAAAACCGACGCGACGAUUGCAUUAAUACUUAAUUUAUUUUUAUUUGAUUAAAAUGACUCUAUAAUCAUUAUUUUUGAAUAAAAUAUAAGAUACAAACAUUAAAUUAAUCAGAUAUCUGGCUUUAUAGCAUUAUAAUUGAUCAUAAAUCUAACGCCUCCAAACGCCAUCUGACGAAAGUCCGAUUUGCAUGUAGGAAAUUCGCCAAAGCGGCCCGGAGCGUGUCCGCGGACCAGACAUGGCGUACAAGGGAACUUUUCAUACAGCCCACGUUCAACAUGCGUCCUUGUAUUGUUUCGCGGCCCGUGUAGCGUGAACCCCGAGUGAAAUAUGGCUGACAGUGCGACUACUUAUUUUUGUUUUAUUUUUUUAGCCCGUGUUACUUAAUUUUAUGAAGUCGCAUGAGUUAUUGGACCACACGCGUUGCGUUAAUUACACGUUAGUAAUGUAGAUCUGCUGAGGCGCCGCGUUUAUCAACGACUUUCCCUUGUCUUCUAUUCGAUUUAAUCAUUGACGAACGUAAAAUUGUAAGUUUGAAUAAAAUAUGAUUGCUGAAACGAUCUGUUGCGUUUUUGUUACAAUGUUCGUUGAGUCAGACGUGUAAAAAUAAAACUCUGGACCGACUCUUGUACACAAAACCUCUGCAAAUCCGGUGAGCAGCGCACAAAUAACAUUGAAGUGAUGAUUGGAGCAAAGUCAACCAACAGUCAGCCUUGCGACUUUACGACCGCCGUAAAACAUGUAAUAGAUUUUUUAUCUAUUUCCAAUUAGUCUGCUGAUUACAUUUUUUUUUUGCUAAUUGCAUUCAAAUAACAAGAAUCAUAUCUUGUUUCAUGUUCAAUGUAAUUGUUUUUGUCGACUUAUAACCGCGCAGUUGUUUUAUUUGUUAAUUAAACAAUAAUUAAGUUUUUUGCGUUAAGAAUACGUUAAGGGUGUUAUCUUGGGAUUUAUCUGUGUACCGGCUUUCAUCUAUCGUCGAACGCAUAAUCUUAUGGUCAUUUGUCGGGUGGUCAGUGGCACUCUAAGUUAAUAAUAAUGCGCCCAAACUAGAUCGGGCCAUUGACCCGGGCGGGCGGCACGGCGGCGCGCGCGCUCCUCACUCGAGCGCCGCUAAAACGUCGCUUAUCUCAUGGAAUUGUAUAAUAUUAAUUUAAAAUAUUUAUAGAUGUACUAGAAUGAAGUGCUAAUUAGCAGUACGAUACUUAAUUUUAAAGAAAAUUAUUUGUUAAAACAAUGAAACGGUAUUUUAAUAGUACGAUAUAUACCUACCUAGGUCUGUUUUAUGGUGUUCGCGUGGCUUCCUACUGACCUUUAUAAGUUAUACUUAUAAGGUAAGAGAUGUUCACAUUUUCUUUCGUAUAUUUCCCUGUAUUUACAGAUAAUUAUUGGCCCGAGACCAAGUGUAUCUACAGCAGUUUAACUUAUGAGAUAGUUUUGGAUAUUUUUUUAGUUUAAUGUUUUAAAAUUGCUUUCAUUAAAACUUCAACUUUUUAUUAAUUAAUAGUCUGUUUUUUGGAACCUUCAAUAUUGAAGUGCUACCUUAAGUAUUUGAAAUCCUGAGCACAAAUAAAUACAUAUUUUAUAACUCACAAUGAGUGGAACGGGCCUGAAGAAAUGAUUUUAUUUAUUAAAAAUAAGUUUUUUUUAUAAUGAUUUCUUAUGUUUACGCGAAU